rnacentral:rRNA from 1 species
CCUACGGGUGGCAGCAGUGGGGAAUAUUGGGCAAUGGGCGAAAGCCUGACCCAGCAACGCCGCGUGAAGGAAGAAGGCUUUCGGGUUGUAAACUUCUUUUCUCAGGGACGCAGCAAGUGACGGUACCUGAGGAAUAAGCCACGGCUAACUACGGGCCAGCAGCCGCGGUAAUACGGAGGUGGCAAGGGUUCUCCGGAUUUACUGGGUGUAAAGGGCGUGUAGGCGGGUAAGCAAGUCAGAUGUGAAAACCACGGGCUCAACCUGUGGCCUGCAUUUGAAACUGUGUGUCUUGAGUACUGGAGAGGCAGACGGAAUUCCUAGUGUAGCGGUGAAAUGCGUAGAUAUUAGGAGGAACACCAGUGGCGAAGGCAGUCUGCUGGACAGCAACUGACGCUGAGGCGCGAAAGCGUGGGGAGCAAACAGGAUUAGAUACCCGUGUAGUC